rnacentral:lncRNA from 1 species
CGCUCAUUGGCCGGCGCUGCCGGCAGCCAGGUCCCUGGCGCUGCGCGGCCUUUGUUCCCGGCUGACAGCUGUGGCCCAGUGGACCUCCCCGCCCACGAGCGCUCCGGCCCAGCGGCCCGGCUGCCCGGCUGCCCGGCUGCCCCAUCUCUCCACGCUGGCUUCGCUCAGACCCCGCCCGGCGGCCCUGCGUGCUGAGUCUGUCUCGCCCUGGUCUGACUUUGCCUGUCGUGCUCUUUCCUCUUUUCUUACCUGCACUCCCUUCUUGCUCCUUCCGCGUUUCCUCUCCUGCUCCCCUUUCUCUGCGACCCCCUUCUUGAUACCCCUUUCUCUAGCUCACCAGUUUCUUUUUCCCAAUAGAUUCCAUCUCCCCACCCCCUGCGCUCGCUCGGAAAGGCUGGGCUUCUCGGGUCUAGGACCUAGGUGGGGGGUUUCUUCCCCACGUCGGGGACCCCGGCACUCCUGUCCCCGGUUUCAAAUCAACUUUUCCACCUCUGUCACAGGGGCAGAGUUUCAGGAGAUCCUUGCUGCCUUCUGGACCGGACCCCGAACCUUCAGUUCCAGGCCUCCUGGAAGGCAGUGCAGCAAAGGGUUUAAAAACACAGAAAGGUGGCAGGAGACUGAAUGAACCGCUGCAAAUAUAAGCCAGGUAUGGUGGCGCACACCUAUAAUGGAGGACCACUGCAAGUUCAAGGCCCGCCUGCACUAUAUAAUGAAUUCAAGGCCAGUCUGAACUACAAAGGAAGACUCUGCAUCAAAAAGAGACGUGAUUUACAUUUUUUAAAAGACUGAAUCAUAUGCAACAAACUACUCAUAGCAAGAGUGACAGGUGAUUUUUUCCUGUUUUGGGCCAUGUAGAUAAGUAUCAGUUAAGAAUGUUCUUAUCUGCCCGCAAAUCACAGAAACCUGACCCGAGUGCUUCAUUUAAUAGGGUCCCGCAUCAUUCUCUAGAGGUGUGGUGGCUUCCUGACCUGAAUGCUUCAUUUCAUAGGGGCCCCCAUCAUUCUCCAGAAGUGUGAUGGCCUCUGGUUCAGGGUUUUAACAGUGUCAGGGGAGAUGGCAUUUCUGGGAGGAUUAGGGCCUUUUCUUUAUGCUUGUCACAUUAGCCACAAGAUACCACAGUCCUAGCCAUGCUGUCUGCAUUCCAGCCAGAAAGCAAGAGGAAGGGGCAAGAGUCAGUGUGGCAAAUCAGUCUUCGGUCUUACUGAUCAGAAUUGGAAUGUGUGCCCUCUCCUCCCCAGGUUUAGGGGAUGCUGGGAUUGAGCACCUUAGUUUUUCUAGCCUUGUAGCUAGGGAGGGG